rnacentral:piRNA from 1 species
UGCAAGAAUAAGUCUCCUGAUCCAG